AUUGCAUGUGGAUGAUGUGAAGGUUUACUUUGCCGUUGUGGAGAAACCCAGCGAUGCUUUCCCCAGUGCUAGCAAUUGGUACGAUUGCCUUGCUUACCAUCUGCUAAAAGGUGGAUUCGAUACUAGACAAGGAUGAUUACACAUUGGAAGAGCUACUUGACUAGGAAGCAAUCAUCCAAGAAUGCAAAGCUUUAAAUAGCCGUCUCAUUCAUAUUUUAAGGGAUAAAGCUCGAGUGGAGCAACUCUUGCGUUAUGUUGGUGACAUGUUCUAAGUUUCUGCUUGGAAGAAAUCAUAAACUUAAAGAGGGUGAUCAUAGACUGAUAUAGUGAUAUUUGUAUUAGGAAUCAACGAGUUGUGUUUAGUAGAUGAAACUUUGCUUGGGUGUGUGUGUUUAGCUAUUUUCUGUUCUGUGAACAGGCACCUGCAGCUGAUGACGAUGAUGACAUGGAUCCUUUUGGUGAAGAGACUGAGGAAAAAGAGAAAGCUUCAGAGGAGAAAGAGGGUGCUAAGAAGGACACCAAAAAGCCCAAAGGUUCUCAUUCUCUAUGGUUUGGAGAAAAAAAAAACAUAGAGAAACUGAAGGUUAUCAAUAUCAAUCUUUCUUGAGUAUUCUUUAGAAGACGUUUGGAAAGGAAGGAGAGAUAGGCUACGAAACUUGGGUUAUGACAAGAUAUUCUGAUAGAAUAUGCUCACUAUGAUGAAAGCCUAAUGGAAAAAAAGGGAGGAAGAUGAAAAGCGCAGCUGAUCUCACAAGAAGAUUGAUGAAAGCUGAGACAGAUGUGCAACUUGAGGCAUUAAAAGUCUUUUGUUCUUUGGAUUGCACAGUGGUAAACCUCGAAGAUUUGUAUGGCACCCUAGCUACUACACUGGUAAAUUUUGAAGAUUUGUAAGUUGGAAAUUGGAGUUUUUUUUUUUUUUUUGGAUAUACAAAGGGAGAAUGCUCAUAUUUUAUUAGAGUUAAAAUUUAUAAAUUUGUAAAUGUCCAGAUGACAAUGAUACAUUUUGUCAAAAGAUUUAUGGUAUACUAUUCUCUGUUUUCAUUCGAUCUCCAUU